AGCGACAGAUUAGAAGCUUGCUUCUAUGACGUUAGCGGCGGACGGGUGAGUAACACGUGGGCAACCUGCCUGUAAGACUGGGAUAACUUCGGGAAACCGAAGCUAAUACCGGAUAGGAUCUUCUCCUUCAUGGGAGAUGAUUGAAAGAUGGUUUCGGCUAUCACUUACAGAUGGGCCCGCGGUGCAUUAGCUAGUUGGUGAGGUAACGGCUCACCAAGGCAACGAUGCAUAGCCGACCUGAGAGGGUGAUCGGCCACACUGGGACUGAGACACGGCCCAGACUCCUACGGGAGGCAGCAGUAGGGAAUCUUCCGCAAUGGACGAAAGUCUGACGGAGCAACGCCGCGUGAGUGAUGAAGGCUUUCGGGUCGUAAAACUCUGUUGUUAGGGAAGAACAAGUACGAGAGUAACUGCUCGUACCUUGACGGUACCUAACCAGAAAGCCACGGCUAACUACGUGCCAGCAGCCGCGGUAAUACGUAGGUGGCAAGCGUUAUCCGGAAUUAUUGGGCGUAAAGCGCGCGCAGGCGGUUUCUUAAGUCUGAUGUGAAAGCCCACGGCUCAACCGUGGAGGGUCAUUGGAAACUGGGGAACUUGAGUGCAGAAGAGAAAAGCGGAAUUCCACGUGUAGCGGUGAAAUGCGUAGAGAUGUGGAGGAACACCAGUGGCGAAGGCGGCUUUUUGGUCUGUAACUGACGCUGAGGCGCGAAAGCGUGGGGGAGCAAACAGGAUUAGAUACCCCUGGUAGNUCCACGCCCGUAAACGAUGAGUGCUAAGUGUUAGAGGGUUUCCCUCCCUUUAGUGCUUGCAGCUAAACGCAUUAAGGCACUCCGCCCUGGGGGAGUACGGUUCGCANGACUNGAAAACUCA
rnacentral:rRNA from 1 species